rnacentral:rRNA from 1 species
GACGAACGCUGGCGGCGUGCCUAAUACAUGCAAGUCGAGCGGAGCAGGAAGCGAGCGUAAGCAAGCAGAGAGCUUAGCGGCGAACGGAUGAGUAACACGUAGGUAACCUAGCGAUAAGACAGGGAUAACUUUCGGAAACGGGAGCUAAUACCAGAUAGUCUUUUCCUUCGCAUGAGGGAAAAGGGAAAGGCGGAGCAAUCUGCCGCGUAUGGAGGGACCUGCGGCGCAUUAGCUAGUUGGAGAGGUAACGGCUGACCAAGGCGACGAUGCGUAUCCGACCUGAGAGGGUGAGCGGACACACUGGGACUGAGACACGGCCCAGACUCCUACGGGAGGCAGCAGUAGGGAAUCUUCCGCAAUGGACGAAAGUCUGACGGAGCAACGCCGCGUGAGUGAAGAAGGUUUUCGGAUCGUAAAGCUCUGUUGCUAGGGAAGAAGACUAUGGAGAGUAACUGCUCGAUAGAAGACGGUACCUAAGAAGAAAGCCCCGGCUAACUACGUGCCAGCCGCCGCGGUAA